AAUCCCAUUUCCCAUUCCAUCCCUUCAUCUCUUCAUUUUAGUUAGUUUUCUUUUGAGAAUUCAAGAAGAGCUCACCUACAAGCAUCAAAGCUUCAUCACCAUAAGGGAAAUUCAAGAUUGGUAAAGAGAGGGAGCUUAAUUUCAAAAUAUGAGAAGGCAAGGCCAACUUCUCCUUUUCCCAACGAAGUAUGGGUUUAAGAUCAGGAAAUCAUCUGGAGAGUAUAUGCUUUUCUAUCUAAAUGGCAAGGUUGAUGAACUGGGGAAGUUUGUCUUCAUAGGCUGAAUUCCAGGAGGAUUGCAAAUGAAUUUGCAUUUAUAAAGCUUGAUUCGAUAUAGGCAUGUCUGAGGCAUGAAGCUUUCAAUUGAAGAGCAAGAAGCUUCAAAGUAGGCAUGGUAUUUACUAACUGCGGUGAUCACUGCAACAACAUCCUUAGCCCCCAGAUGUAUUGGAAUACAAUAUCAGACCAAGCUAUAGGUCAUCUCAAAUCGACCCCUUGCUCGAGAUUGAUUGUCUGGGAGCAACUCCUUGGUCUGUAAGUAUACAACCUUGUUUUCAUUCUUCUCAUGACCUUAUUGCA